rnacentral:tRNA from 1 species
GCCCGCGUAGCUCAAUGGCUAGAGCGUGGGACUUUUACUAUGGAUACCUAGUAUAAGUGAAAUCCCAAGGCUGUGGGUUCGAGUCCCACCGUGGGCG